GUAGGGAAUAUUGCACAAUGGGCGAAAGCCUGAUGCAGCAACGCCGCGUGUGCGAAGAAGGCCUUCGGGUCGUAAAGCACUUUUCUGAGAGAUGAGAAAGGACAGUAUCUCAGGAAUAAGUCUCGGCUAACUACGUGCCAGCAGCCGCGGUAAAACGUAGGAGGCGAGCGUUAUCCGGAUUCACUGGGCGUAAAGCGCGUGCAGGCGGUUCGGUAAGUUGGGCGUGAAAUCUCCUGGCUCAACUAGGAGAGGUCGUCCAAUACUACCGGACUAGAGAGCGGUAGAGGAAGAUGGAAUUCCCGGUGUAGUGGUGAAAUGCGUAGAUAUCGGGAGGAACACCAGUGGCGAAGGCGAUCUUCUGGACCGUUUCUGACGCUCAGACGCGACAGCUAGGGUAGCAAACGGGAUUAGAAACCCUAGUAGUCC
rnacentral:rRNA from 1 species